rfam:Triticum urartu cultivar G1812 contig7102, whole genome shotgun sequence.
GAACUACUCCCUCUGUUCAGAAAUACUUGUCAUCAAAAUGAAUAAAAGGGGAUGUAUCUAGAUAUAUUUUAGUUCUAGAUAUAUCAUUUUUUUCCAUUUUAAUGACAAGUAUUUUCAGACGGAGGGAAUACUAG